rnacentral:rRNA from 1 species
AACGAACGCUGGCGGCGUGCCUAAUACAUGCAAGUCGAACGAGAAAGUGUAGCAAUACAUUAGUAAAGUGGCAGACGGGUGAGUAAUACAUAGAUAAUCUUCCCUCAAGAUGGGGAUAACCUUCCGAAAGGAGGGCUAAUACCGAAUGAGACCACACUGACUUUGGUCAGAGCGGUCAAAGGUGACCUCUAUUUAUAAGUUAUCGCUUGAGGAUGAGUUUAUGCACCAUCAGCUAGUUGGUAAGGUAACGGCUUACCAAGGCUAUGACGGUUAACUGAUCUGAGAGGUUGAUCAGUCACACUGGAACUGAGACACGGUCCAGACUCCUACGGGAGGCAGCAGUAGGGAAUAUUGCGCAAUGGAGGAAACUCUGACGCAGCGACGCCGCGUGGGUGAUGAAGGUCUUCGGAUCGUAAAGCCCUGUCGGAAGGGACGAAAAACGGAAUGGCUAAUAUCCAUACCGCUUGACGGUACCUUAAAAGGAAGCACCGGCUAACUUCGUGCCAGCAGCCGCCGUAACAC